rnacentral:rRNA from 1 species
UACGUAGGGUGCAAGCGUUAAUCGGAAUUACUGGGCGUAAAGCGUGCGCAGGCGGUUUUGUAAGUCUGACGUGAAAUCCCCGGGCUCAACCUGGGAACUGCAUUUGUGACUGCAUCGCUGGAGUGCGGCAGAGGGGGAUGGAAUUCCGCGUGUAGCAGUGAAAUGCGUAGAUAUGCGGAGGAACACCGAUGGCGAAGGCAAUCCCCUGGGCCUGCACUGACGCUCAUGCACGAAAGCGUGGGGAGCAAACAGG